AUGAAUCCUUGGUUAAAGCUCAUAUGACUACCAAAGGUGGAAUUCAAGGUCUUCACUUCUCAAGAGAUAGCUGACAUGUUGCACAUAGAUGAAUCCUUGGUUAAAGCUCAUAUGACUACCAAAGGUGGAAUUCAAGGUCUUCCUUCUGAUUUCCUCAUCGCUCAAGCUACUGUUUAUGGGAAAGCCAUGAGUGAGGACGCCUUUGA
rnacentral:lncRNA from 1 species